rnacentral:tRNA from 1 species
GGGCAGUUAACUCAGCGGUAGAGUGCCAUCCUCACACGAUGGAAGCCACAGGUUCAAAUCCUGUACUGCCCA